rnacentral:rRNA from 1 species
UACGGGGGGAGCAAGCGUUGUUCGGAUUUACUGGGCGUAAAGGGCGCGUAGGCGGCGAUUCAAGUGGCGGGUGAAAUCCCUCGGCUUAACCGAGGAACUGCCUGCCAGACUGGAUUGCUUGAGUCCGGGAGAGGUGAGUGGAAUUCCCAGUGUAGCGGUGAAAUGCGUAGAUAUCAGGAGGAACACCCGUGGCGAAGGCGGCUUUCUAGGAUAUACCUGACACUGAGAAGCGACAGCUAGGGGAGCAAACAGG